GACGAACGCUGGCGGCGUGCUUAACACAUGCAAGUCGAACGGAAAGGCCCUGCUUUUGUGGGGUGCUCGAGUGGCGAACGGGUGCGUAACACGUGAGUAACCUGCCCUUGACUUUGGGAUAACUUCAGGAAACUGGGGCUAAUACCGGAUAGGAGCUCCUGCUGCAUGGUGGGGGGUGGAAAGUUUCGGCGGUUGGGGAUGGACUCGCGGCUUAUCAGCUUGUUGGUGGGGUAGUGGCUUACCAAGGCUUUGGAGGGUCGCCGGCCUGAGAGGGUGACCGGCCACAUUGGGACUGAGAGACGGCCCAGACUGCUACGGGAGGCAGCAGUGGGGAAUAUUGCACAAUGGGCGGAAGCCUGAUGCAGCAACGCCGCGUGCGGGAUGACGGCCUUCGGGUUGUAAACCGCUUUCGCCUGUGACGAAGCGUGAGUGACGGUAAUGGGUAAGGAAGCACCGGCUAACUACGUG
rnacentral:rRNA from 1 species